UUUCAAUUGCAUCGGCUGCUCUACUGAUCUGAAAGUCUUGCUUUCCUUUGGUUAGGGAAAACCUAACACUGCCUAAAUAAUUAAGCAAAUGAUAUACCCUUAAAGAAAUGAGAAAAUACUGUUUGUUAGAGACAACUCCUUUAAAAUCACCACCUGAAACCACAGUCGCGUGUGUGUAAGGCUCACAGCAGUCGUCAGUGGCAUGAUGGUCAACACAGCAGUGGUUUUCCUGAAUUCCUCAAAGGAAAACAAGAGUAGGAGUGGAGCAGUUGUGCGAAGUAGUAGCAAUAUAUAUCCAGCAAAACAGAGAUUUCCCUAAACUGUUGUGGAGAAAUGUCUCAACUUUGUUACAUUGUUAGGUUUCUCCAGUACAAAGGAAGCGAUACUCUGAGGUCAAUUGGGUAGCUUGGGUGGUGUAAUCACUCCUGAACUUCCUCUUCUGGGCAUAUCACUUGUUAGAGACAGACUAGCUGUUCCGCAGAGUCAAAAGAGAGUCAUAUCUUUCUUCCUGGAGGGUAUAUGGGUUAGGGGGAGGCGAGAGAGGAAGGAAGGCAGGGGAAACAACUGGCCUCUUCAUUCCUUUUCUUUAUUCGUGUUUUCAAUGGGGCUAUAAAUGUCAGUUCCUUCCUAAUGGAUCUGGAGAUUGAAGCACUCCUGCUACUGAAAAGGUUGAUAUGGCUCGAGCAGCAAUGGUUUCGGGCAGUUGAUUUUGCUGGAGAAUUUCUCAGAGGGCAAGUGAAUGGAUCCCAUUUAUGA
rnacentral:lncRNA from 1 species